UACCUCAGUAGCCUUGAGCUCAAGGAAAAAGUACUACUCCUCACCUCAUCACCCUGCUCUCCUCCUACCUCCUCAUGAACAACCAGAAAUGUUCCAGCCUUCUACAGUUGCAUAAGAUGGCUCCAGACCUUCAUACAGCAAAUCAAGGUCAAACUGAGAUAUGGCCUGAUGCCCUAUAGGGAGAUAUUCUGAAGAGAGAUGAAGAACAAUGGAGAUGAUUUCGAAAGGAGGUUCUUCCCAGCCUAUGAAGCUUUAAUGCAAAUUGCUGCCCUUCUUCAUUUGCAACGACGUAAAUAUCUAGA